rnacentral:rRNA from 1 species
CCUACGUGAGGCAGCAGUGAGGAAUAUUGGUCAAUGGGCGCGAGCCUGAACCAGCCAAGUAGCGUGAAGGAUGACUGCCCUACGGGUUGUAAACUUCUUUUGUCAAGGAAUAAAGUGAGGCACGUGUGCCUUUUUGUGUGUACUUUAUGAAUAAGGAUCGGCUAACUCCGUGCCAGCCGCCGCGGUAAUACGGAGGAUCCGAGCGUUAUCCGGAUUUAUUGGGUUUAAAGGGAGCGUAGAUGGGUUGUUAAGUCAGUUGUGAAAGUUUGCGGCUCAAACGUAAAAUUGCAAUUGAUACUGGCAGCCUUGAGUACAGUUGAGGUAGGCGGAAUGCGUGGUGUAGCGGUGAAAUGCUUAGAUAUCACGAAGAACUCCGAUUGCGAAGGCAGCUUACUAAACUGCCACUGACAUUGAUGCUCGAAAGUGUGGGUAUCAAACAGGAUUAGAUACCCCGGUAGUC